rnacentral:rRNA from 1 species
CCUACGGGAGGCAGCAGUGGGGAAUUUUGGACAAUGGGCGCAAGCCUGAUCCAGCAAUGCCGCGUGAGUGAAGAAGGCCUUCGGGUUGUAAAGCUCUUUUGUCAGGGAAGAAACGGUGGAGGCUAAUAUCCUUUGCUAAUGACGGUACCUGAAGAAUAAGCACCGGCUAACUACGUGCCAGCAGCCGCGGUAAUACGUAGGGUGCAAGCGUUAAUCGGAAUUACUGGGCGUAAAGCGUGCGCAGGCGGUUUUGUAAGUUUGUCGUGAAAUCCCCGGGCUCAACCUGGGAAUGGCGAUGAAGACUGCAAGGCUAGAAUCUGGCAGAGGGGGGUAGAAUUCCACGUGUAGCAGUGAAAUGCGUAGAGAUGUGGAGGAACACCGAUGGCGAAGGCAGCCCCCUGGGUCAAGAUUGACGCUCAUGCACGAAAGCGUGGGGAGCAAACAGGAUUAGAUACCCUGGUAGUCCACGCCCUAAACGAUGUCUACUAGUUGUCGGGUUUUAAUUAACUUGGUAACGCAGCUAACGCGUGAAGUAGACCGCCUGGGGAGUACGGUCGCAAGAUUAAACGUUCAAAGGAAUUGACGG